CCUACGGGUGGCAGCAGUGAGGAAUAUUGGUCAAUGGCCGUAAGGCUGAACCAGCCAAGUAGCGUGAAGGAAGCAGGAUCUAUGGUUUGUAAACUUCUUUUAUAGGGGAAUCAAGGUAUCCACGUGUGGAUAUUUGCAUGUUACCUAUGAAUAAGCAUCGGCUAACUCCGUGCCAGCAGCCGGUGUAAUACGGCGGAUGCGAGAGUUAUCCGGAUUUAUUGGGUUUAAAGGGUGCGUAGAUUGUUUUUUAAGUCAGCUGUGAAAGUUUGUGUCUCAACCAUAAAAUUGCAGUUGAUACUGGAAGACUUGAGUGUGUUUGAGGUAGGCGGAAUGCGUGGUGUAGCGGUGAAAUGCAUAGAUAUCACGCAGAACUCCGAGUGCGAAGGCAGCUUACUAAGCCAUAACUGACACUGAAGCACGAAAGCGUGGGGAUCAAACAGGAUUAGAUACCCUUGUAGUC
rnacentral:rRNA from 1 species